AAACUGGGAUUAGAUACCCCACUAUGCCUGACUGUAAACUACCAGCCAAAAAAGUACGAGCCCCGCUAGAAACUUAAAGGACCUGGCGGUACUCUAUAUCAACCUAGAGGGGCCUGUCCUAUAACCGAUAAUCCACGAAAAACCUUGCCAUCUCUUGCCACCCAGCCUAUAUACCGCCGUCUCCAGCACAUUUUCCGAGAAAUGAAGCCAAACAGUCUCACACACUAAUACGUCAGGUCAAGGUGUAGCUUAUGAGAUGGAAGAGGCGGACCACAAUACCACAACACACGAAAACCCCGUUGAAACACGGGGAAAAAGACGAAUUUAGCAGUAAGUGGAACAGAAUGCCCCACUGAACCACCCGCCCUAGAGUACGCACACACCGCCCGUCACCCU
rnacentral:rRNA from 1 species